CAGCCGCCGCGGUAAUACGUAGGGGGCGAGCGUUGUCCGGAAUUACUGGGCGUAAAGCGCAUGUAGGCGGGCGACUAAGUCAGGGGUGAAAACCGUGGGCUCAACCUACGGCUUGCCUUUGAUACUGGUCGUCUUGAGUACAGGAGAGGGAAGCGGAAUUCCCGGUGUAGCGGUGAAAUGCGUAGAUAUCGGGAGGGACACCAGUGGCGAAGGCGGCUUCCUGGCCUGUUACUGACGCUGAGAUGCGAAAGCGUGGGGAGCGAACGGGAUUAGAUACCCCGGUAGUCCACGCUGUAAACGAUGGGUACUAGGUGUUGGAGGUAUCGACCCCUUCAGUGCCGUAGCUAACGCAAUAAGUACCCCGCCUGGGGAGUACGGCCGCAAGGUUGAAACUUAAAGGAAUUGGCGGG
rnacentral:rRNA from 1 species